AAUUUUCACCCCUUCUGUCACUGUCUUUGUCGCUGUCUGUGAAUGUGGCGGAGUAUGUGUUCCUAUCUUCCUUCCUGUAUUUAUUCAGUUCCUGUCCUGACCUGUUCCCGUGAGUUCCUGCCAUUGAUUCUCCCUGCCUGGUACUUGGUCCGUUUCAGAGUCUGCGGUCAACAAUUAUCUGAGCUCAGCUCUAUGGUGCCUUGCUCGGUCUUCUCCAUCUGCCUGGUCUUGCCGCUUCCUCUGCUGCUAUUCUGCCAUGUGAUGCCCAAGGCUGUCCCAGUGGCGUUCCCUAGCUGUCUCUCUCUGUUAACUGUGUUACUGCCAUUGAAUCACCUGCACACCUCACUGCCCUCUUGUAUCUUUCUGUUUUGUAAUAAACCCCUGUCACUUACUCUGUGAUUGGGUCCUUCUUCCAGAUCCCUGUCAAAUAAUAUGGAUCAUCCCUUCAUAUUAACACUGAAUGUACUGACAAGCAUUUAUGGUACACUAAAAUAUACUUUAAUGUAAUUUUAGUUGAAAGUUGUAUAUCAAGUUUUUAAACAUAUUUGUAAUGAUGAAGUUGCAAUUUAGUACAUUUACUAUAUAAUAAAAUUUUUAUGUUUAAUAUGUAAUAACAUACUACUUAAAAUUGUAAUAUAAACAACACAUUGAAAUAAACAUACUUUCAAAACAUACUUUUAUAACCAGACAAUGAUUUAAAAACAAACAGAAGAAUUUAAAAAUCAACCCUAAAUUUAACGGGAAGUUAAUGAAGGAAUGAUAAAACAGGGGAAAUGUGAUCCCUCUUUUUAGACCCAGUCAAAAGCCACAGCAUUUUGAACAGCUUGCAAUCGUGACAAUGAAGAUUGAGGAAGACCAGAGUAAAGACAGUUACAAUAUUCCAAUCGAGAUGUACUAAUUGCAUGAAUCACAACUUCCAUAUCCUUCCUUGAAAGAAGAUGCUUUAACUUUGCAAUGGAUCUCAGAUGCAAACAAACUUGCUCUAAUAACAGCACUAAUUUGUUUAUCAAAAAAUAGAGAAGAGUUAAAAAUCAAUCCAAGGUUUUUGAUUAAUUUGCAUACAUUUUAUAUUCAAUUUGCAUUUUAUCUGAUUCUACAUUUAUUUAUUGACUUCUUUAGUCAGAUUUUCAUUCUUUUUUGUUUCUCUCCCUUCACAG
ensembl:lncRNA